GACGAACGCUGGCGGCGUGCCUAAUACAUGCAAGUUGAGCGCUGAAGGUUGGUACUUGUACCAACUGGAUGAGCAGCGAACGGGUGAGUAACGCGUGGGGAAUCUGCCUUUGAGCGGGGGACAACAUUUGGAAACGAAUGCUAAUACCGCAUAAAAACUUUAAACACAAGUUUUAAGUUUGAUAGAUGCAAUUGCAUCACUCAAAGAUGAUCCCGCGUUGUAUUAGCUAGUUGGUGAGGUAAAGGCUCACCAAGGCGAUGAUACAUAGCCGACCUGAGAGGGUGAUCGGCCACAUUGGGACUGAGACACAGCCCAAACUCCUACGGGAGGCAGCAGUAGGGAAUCUUCGGCAAUGGACGAAAGUCUGACCGAGCAACGCCGCGUGAGUGAAGAAGGUUUUCGGAUCGUAAAACUCUGUUGGUAGAGAAGAACGUUGGUGAGAGUGGAAAGCUCAUCAAGUGACGGUAACUACCCAGAAGGGGACGGCUAACUACGUG
rnacentral:rRNA from 1 species